AAGGUUGAGCAUUUCUGCUUCUCCCGGCUGCUUCACUGUCACCAGACAGCCCAUUUUUUCUUAUGAUAAAGACGGCAUUUGGCUCAUGAGCAAGGUGGCAAAAUCAUCAAGUGAGUCAGACGUGCAGCUCUGGGAAACAGAAGAGGAUGACAUGACAGAAGGUGAUUUAGGGUAUGGCCUCGGAAGGAAACCUGGUGGGAUUUAUGAAAUAGAAUUUUCACAUAGGUCUAGAAAAAGAUCAGAUGGAAAGAACUUUAGCCCUCCUCCAUUUCCGAGAAAGGGAGAAGAAAGAAAUGAAGCGAGUUUUCAGUAUUCCAAGCAUAAGAGCCAGCAAGAGACAUUCCCUCAAGUGUCCAGAAUUUCUAAUUACAGACGACAAAGUAGCACUGGAGGUAGAAAUGUUAAAAACUGAACUUGAGGCAUCUCAAAGACAACUCAGAGGUAAAGAGGAAGCAUUGAAAAUUCUUCAAAGCAUGGUAAGAAGUUGUUUUUAAACUUUCACCAUUUACACAUUCCAAUAAUAAUGUUGGUAUGGUUUUAACUUUUAAAACCAAGGCAGAAGGACUUAAUAUAGUUGAGGGUUUUUUUAGGUAUGUAUAUUUUUAAGAGCUUUAUAAUUUAUAUAUCAUGAAGUUCACAUGUAAAUGUGCACUACAAUUCAUUUUUACUAGAUAUAAGCGUUGUACCACCAUCACUAUAAUCUAAUUUUAGAACAUUUCCAACACCAGAAAAGGGACUUGGUGCCCAUCAGCAGUCAUUCCUCAUUCCCACCCCUAUCCCCAGUAAUCUAUUUUCUGUUUGUAGAUUUGCCUUUUCUAUUUAAUAUAAAUAGAAUAAUAAGAUAUGUGACUGGAUUCUUUUGCAUUGAGAUUCUUUAAGUUAGCAUGUUUUAGAGGUUCAUACAUGUCCUAGCAUGUAUCAGUACUUUCUUCCUUUUUAUUGCCAAGUAAUACUCCAUUGUGUAGAUGCACCAUGUUUUGCUUAUGCAUUCACCAGUUGAUGGACAUUUGGGUGGUGUAUUAGUCCAUUUUUAUGCUGCUGAUAAAGACAUACCCAAGACUGGGGGAAAAAAAGAGGUUUAAUUGGACUUACAGUUCCACAUGGCUAUGAAGGCCUCAGAAUCAUGGUGGGAGGUGAAAGGCAGUUCCUACGUGGCAGCAGCAAGAGAAAAUGAGGAAGAUUCAAAAGUGGAAACCUCUGAUAAAACCAUCAGAUCUCAUGAAACUUAUUCACAUACCAGAACAGUAUGGGGGAAACCACCCCCAUGAUCCAAAUUAUCUCCCACUGGGUCCCUCUCACAACACGUGGGAAUUAUGGGAAUACAAUUCAAGAUGAGAUUUGGGUGAGGACACAGAGCCAAACCAUAUCAUUCCACUCCGGCCCCUCCAAAUCUCAUGUCCUCACAUUUCAAAACCAAUCAUGCCUUCCCAACAGUCCCCCAAAGUCUGAAAUCAUUUCAGCAUUAACCCAAAAAUCCACAGUCCAAAGUCUCAUCUGAGACAAGGCAAGUCCCUUCUGCCUAUGAGCUGGUAAAAUCAAAAGCAAGCUAGUUACUUCCUACAUACAAUGGGGAUGUAGGUAUAUAGCCAUUCCAAAUGGGAGAAAUUGGCCAAAACAAAGGGGUUACUGGGCUCAUGCAAAUCCAAAAUCCAGCAGGGCAGUCAAAUUUUAAAGCUCCAAAAUGAUCUCCUUUGACUCCAGGUCUCACAUCCAGGUCAUACUGAUGCAAGAGGUGGGUUCCCAUGGCCUUGGGCAGCUCCACCCCUGUGGCUUUGCAGAGUGCAGCCUCCCUCCUGGCUGCUUUCACAGGCUGGCAUUGAGUGUCUGCAGCUUUCCCAGGUGCACAGUGUAAGCCAUGGGUGGAUCUACCAUUCUGGGGUCUGGAGGAUGGUGGCCCUCUUCUCAUAACUCCACUAGGCAGUGCUGUAGUAGGGACUCUGUGUGGGGGCUCCAACCCCACAUUUCCCUUCUGCAGUGCCCUAGCAGCAGUUCUCCAUGAGAGCCCCAUCCCUGCAGGAAACUUCUGCCUGGACAUCCAGGCAUUGCCAUACAUCUUCUGAAAUCUAGUGGAGGUUCCCAAACCCCGAUUCUUUACUUCUGUGCACCCGCAGGCUCAACAUCACGUGGAAGCUGCCAAGGCUUGGGGCUUGCACCCUCUAUAUUCACAGACGGAGCUGUACCUUGGCCCCUUUCAGCCACCGCUGGAGUGGCUGGGACGCAGGCCACCAAGUCCUUAGACUGCACACAGCACGGGGACCCUGGGCCCUGCCCACGAAACCAUUUUUUCCUCCGAGACUUCUGGCUCUGUGAUGAGAGAGGCUGCUGCAAAGGUCUCUGACAUGCCCUGGAGACAUUUUCCCCAUUAUCUUGGGGAUUAACAUUUGGCUCCUCAUUACUUAUGCAAAUAUCUGCAGCUAGCUUGAAUUUAUCCUUAGAAAAUGGGAUUUUCUUUUCUAUUGCAUUGUCAGGCUGCAAAUUUUCUGAACUUUUACGCUGUGCUUCCCUUUUAAAAUGGAAUGCCUUUAACAGUACCCAAGCCAUCUCUUGAAUGCUUUGCUGCUUAGAAAUUUCUUCCACCAGAUACUCUAAAUCAUCUCUCUCAAGUUCAAAGUUCCACAGAUCUCUAGGGCAGGGGCAAAAUGCCACAAAUCUCUUUGCUAAAACAUAACAAGAGUCACCUUUACUCUAGUUCCCAACAAGUUCCUCAUCUCCAUCUGAGACCGCCUCAGCCUGGAUUUCAUUGUCCAUAUCAUUAUCAGUGUUUUUGUGAAAGACACUCAACAAGUCUCUAGAAAGUUCCAAUCUUUCCCACAUUUUCCUGUCUUCUUCUGAGCCCUCCAAACUGUCCCAAUCUCUGCCUGUUACCCAGUUUCAAAGUAGCUUCCACAUUUUUGGGUAUCUUUUCAGCAAUGCCCCACUCUACUGGUACCAAAUUACUGUAUUAGUCCAUUUUUAUGCUCCUGAUAAAGACAUACCCAAGACUGGGAAGAAAAAGAGGUUUAAUUGGACUUACAGUUCCACAUGGCUGGGGAGGUCUCAGAAUCAUGGUGGGAGGCGAAAGGCACUUAUAACAUGGCAGCAGCAAGAGAAAAUGAGAGAGAUGCAAAAGCAGAACCCCUGAUAAAAUCAACAGAUCUCAUGAGACUUAUUCACUACCAUGAGAACAGUAUGGGGAAAACCACCCCCAUGAUUCAAAUUAUCUCCCACCGGGUCCUCUCACAACAUGUGGUAAUUAUGAGAGUACAAUUCAAAAUGAGAUUUGGGUGGGGACACAGAGCCAAACCGUAUCAGAUGGUUUCCACUUUUUGACUGAUGAAUAGUACUGUUCUGAACACUUUCUUUGUGUGGAAAAUUCAUCCAUUAAUUCCCACAUUCAUUGGAAAAGAGCCAAACCAAGAUCUCCUGACUUUUGAACUAUCAGACUCUCCAUAAAAGGUGGUCACUGUGAAAUUCUUAUGUCAAUUCAUCUUAAUUUUCCAUUGCCUUAAAAUAAAAGAGAACUUCAUGAUGUACAUAGGAGUGAUUACAAAUUUAAUUUAUACUGAUGCUAGUUUUAUUUUUCUUAGGCAAUACUGGGCAAAGCCACAAGUCAUACGCAGGCAGUGCUUCAAAAAACUAUGGAACAAAACAGAUCCUUGGAGAAGGUAUUUGGUGCUUUUAGUGUAGACUUAUUGAAUCCAAUAAGCUGUUAAAUAUAAUUUCCCUAAACUCACCAUACUAAUGGAUCUGUCAUUUGUGCCUACCUUCUGCUAGGUGUGCUUCAGUUCUGAUGGUCUUCCCUUUUGGAGUUUACAAUCUAAAACAGAUUGUCAUGUGCACAAUGAAUUCAGGUUAUUUUUAUUUCCCCAUGUUAAGGUAGUAGGAGGCCUGCCAAAUUGGUACUUCUCAUUUCUUCUUCUUUUUUUUUUUUUUGAGACGGAGUCCUG
rnacentral:sRNA from 1 species